GGGGAUUUAGCUCAGCGCCAUAAGCAUCUGCCUUACAAGCAGGCAGUCGUGAGUUCAAUCCCCA
rnacentral:tRNA from 1 species